UUGAGAACUCUAAUGAGACUGCCGGUGAUAAACCGGAGGAAGGCGGGGACGACGUCAAGUCAUCAUGGCCCUUAUGGGAUGGGCUACACACGUGCUACAAUGGGGAGUACAAAGAGCAGCCAACUGGCGACAGUGCGCGAAUCUCAAAAAACUUCUCGUAGUCCGGAUUGGAGUCUGCAACUCGACUCCAUGAAGUCGGAAUCGCUAGUAAUCGCGAAUCAGAAUGUCGCGGUGAAUACGUUCCCGGGCCUU
rnacentral:rRNA from 1 species